CGGGGGGAGCAAGCGUUGUUCGGAUUUACUGGGCCUAAAGGGCGCGUAGGCGGCCACCGCAAGUCGACUGUGAAAUCUCCGGGCUUAACCCGGAAAGGUCAGCCGAUACUGCGGGGCUAAAGUGCAGAAGGGGCAACUGGAAUUCUCGGUGUAGCGGUGAAAUGCGUAGAUAUCGAGAGGAACACCUGCGGCGAAGGCGGGUUGCUGGGCUGACACUGACGCUGAGGCGCGAAAGCUAGGGGAGCGAACGGGAUUAGAUACCCCGGUAGUCCUAGCCUUAAACGAUGAAUGCUUGGUGUCGUGGGGUUUUAUACGGUCCCCGGGUGCCGUCGCUAACGUCUUUAAGCAUUCCGCCGUGGGGAGUACGGUCGCAAGACUAG
rnacentral:rRNA from 1 species